GGUCAAGAGCGCCAGCGCCAAGCCCCGGCUCGCUGGCCGGCAACCCUCCUCCGCGGUGGGGUGCUCCGGGUGACGACCUGGCCGCCGCGCACCCACGGCGGCAAGCGCGGACC
rnacentral:ncRNA from 2 species